GACAACAACAUUCCCUCAUUCAAUCGUUAUCUCAAUUGCACCAUUGGGAUAUGCUCACAUUCUGCUUUCAAAUAUAGGAGAUAGAUGGAAAGAUAUACAUGCGAUAGCUGUUUUCUUUUGUUAAUUCUUUUUCCCAUUCUGUGUCUCGCGUGCGUGUGUGUCAAAAACAGUAAAAAACUGUACACAUCGGUGAAGCAUUCUUAACCUUGCUGCUCCUAACUUCACAAUAGGAUAACAUAUGUUCAAAAUAUAAUGAGCUGGUAAGGAGCAUCGAUAAAAUUGCGUGUUCCAUGGCGAUGAAUAAUAGUUCCCAUAAUGAUAUCAAAGAAAAAGCCAAGAUCAAAUCGUUUUCUGCCACCAAAGACGGAUGAAGCCACUUUACAUCUGGGAUUUUGUUGAGAGGCAGUUUAUACUAACCGCAGUAUUGUCUACAUCCUAACCUUUAAUGGUGGGAUAUGUUUUUUGCUACUAAUGGAGGAGUUUCAGGAUCUCGAUGUUUGGAUUUUCAUGUCUAUAACCCCCCAUUAUUGGUGAAUGUGUGAGAGUUGACUCAAUUUUCGAACACUGGUUGAUUGAAGAAUACGAAAAUUAGCCCAAUUUUUCUUCAGAAGUCCCAGAUUUUGCCAUGAGAAUGUUGAUUGAUUGUGCUUUACAAAAGGGAGAGUGUUAGAGGUAUGUUUAGGAGUAUCUCGCUCUCAAUCAAAUGUGCGCGUCUUAAUGUUCAAUUUUUAUGGUCGGGAACUUUUUCACUUCGUCAAUAAUCGAUUCUGUUGUUCAAAUAAAAGUUAGGUGAUACUUCUUCCAAGUUCCGCCCUUUGGUUAAUGGGGAAGAAAAGACCUUCGAGUGGUCUUUUUUCCAGUCUUGAUUGACUGAUUCUCUUCUUGCAAAAAACAACACUCCGGAUUUCUUUUCAUUUCAUACUCCCGUUUGUUUUUUUAUACGUUUAUUGGACCUUAAUUUUUUUGUUUUGGAGAGGCGAUGUUCCUGACCACAAGAUGGGUCUAAAGGAAUUUCCAAAAUCGAAUAAAAGGAAUGUGGUUUCUGCUUUUUUUGGCAAAAAAAACCCAUUCUCAAGACCAAAUAUGUCUGAUACUAGAUUCUGAUGAAAGUGAUUUAUUCGUUGUUCUCAUUAAGCAGUUAAAAUCUUCGAAUUUGCCAUCUAGUUUUUUGGGCUAAGUAUUUGAUGAUCAUUGAAACCAUUUUCGAGGAACUACAUUGUCAUUGUUGCGGGCUCAGAAAACUGUUGUCUGAAUUUAACCUUUUCCUAUGGAGGUAGAAGGGAUCAAACUAUUGGUUUUACUCCAUAUGACUGGGUGUUCCAUUCACACCUAAUCUUUGUCAUUUGUUAUAAAAGCAUGCACACUUGAUUCAAUGGGCUUCCUUUAGGGUUAGUUUUUUUUUCCAAUACUUUUAGGGUAUGUUUGAUGAUAGAGUAUGUGCUUUUUGAAUGAUGGAGACGAAAGUUUUGAGUGCCGUAUUUUAUAUCUUUUUGAGUUUUAUUUAUUGACGACGCUUUGAAAUGUUUGAUUAUGGUGUGGAGUGGUGAGGGGAGCCUUGCAUCCGAACUUUGACUGCAAAAGGGGCGUAAAUGGGAGUUUGACUGUGGAAUUGCGUGAGAAAGAUUGGAUUUGAAGUUGUCCUUUUUACCUAUUUUU
rnacentral:telomerase_RNA from 1 species